UACGUAGGGUGCAAGCGUUGUCCGGAAUUAUUGGGCGUAAAGGGCUCGUAGGCGGUCUGUUGCGUCGGGAGUGAAAACUCAGGGCUUAACCCUGAGCCUGCUUCCGAUACGGGCAGACUAGAGGUAUGCAGGGGAGAACGGAAUUCCUGGUGUAGCGGUGAAAUGCGCAGAUAUCAGGAGGAACACCGGUGGCGAAGGCGGUUCUCUGGGCAUUACCUGACGCUGAGGAGCGAAAGCGUGGGGAGCAAACAGG
rnacentral:rRNA from 1 species